GCAGUCGAACGAACUUCCGUUAAUUGAUUAUGAGGUGCUUGCACUGAAUGAGAUUUUAACAUGAAGUGAGUGGCGGACGGGUGAGUAACACGUGGGUAACCUGCCCAGAAGCAGGGGAUAACACCUGGAAACAGAUGCUAAUACCGUAUAACAGAGAAAACCGCCUGGUUUUCUUUUAAAAGAUGGCUCUGCUAUCACUUCUGGAUGGACCCGCGGCGCAUUAGCUAGUUGGUGAGGUAACGGCUCACCAAGGCGAUGAUGCGUAGCCGACCUGAGAGGGUAAUCGGCCACAUUGGGACUGAGACACGGCCCAGACUCCUACGGGAGGCAGCAGUAGGGAAUCUUCCACAAUGGACGCAAGUCUGAUGGAGCAACGCCGCGUGAGUGAAGAAGGGUUUCGGCUCGUAAAGCUCUGUUGUUAAAGAAGAACGUGGGUGAGAGUAACUGUUCACCCAGUGACGGUAUUUAACCAGAAAGCCACGGCUAACUACGUGCCAGCAGCCGCGGUAAUACGUAGGUGGCAAGCGUUAUCCGGAUUUAUUGGGCGUAAAGCGAGCGCAGGCGGUCUUUUAAGUCUAAUGUGAAAGCCUUCGGCUCAACCGAAGAAGUGCAUUGGAAACUGGGAGACUUGAGUGCAGAAGAGGACAGUGGAACUCCAUGUGUAGCGGUGAAAUGCGUAGAUAUAUGGAAGAACACCAGUGGCGAAAGCGGCUGUCUGGUCUGUAACUGACGCUGAGGCUCGAAAGCAUGGGUAGCGAACAGGAUUAGAUACCCUGGUAGUCCAUGCCGUAAACGAUGAUUACUAAGUGUUGGAGGGUUUCCGCCCUUCAGUGCUGCAGCUAACGCAUUAAGUAAUCCGCCUGGGGAGUACGACCGCAAGGUUGAAACUCAAAAGAAUUGACGGGGGCCCGCACAAGCGGUGGAGCAUGUGGUUUAAUUCGAAGCUACGCGAAGAACCUUACCA
rnacentral:rRNA from 1 species